AGAUUUGUAUAGAAAUGUGUCAGCCAAUCUGGCAUCUAGGGCACACAUCUAACACCACGUCAGUUGGACAGAUACUAUGAUUUUCUGAUCCAAGAUGGUGAUCCCAUCGAACUUGAUGAGAACGAUGAGGAUCCGAUCACCUAUAUAGAGGCCAUGCAAAGGCUCGAUUCUCAAAAAUGAUUUGAGGCCAUGAAGUCUGAGAUGGAGUCCAUGG
rnacentral:lncRNA from 1 species